rnacentral:rRNA from 1 species
CCUACGGGAGGCAGCAGUGGGGAAUAUUGGGCAAUGGGCGCAAGCCUGACCCAGCAACGCCGCGUGAAGGAAGAAGGCUUUCGGGUUGUAAACUUCUUUUCUCAGGGACGAAGCAAGUGACGGUACCUGAGGAAUAAGCCACGGCUAACUACGUGCCAGCAGCCGCGGUAAUACGUAGGUGGCAAGCGUUAUCCGGAUUUACUGGGUGCAAAGGGCGUGUAGGCGGGGACGCAAGUCAGAUGUGAAACCCACGGGCUCAACCUGUGGCCUGCAUUGGAAACUGUGUUUCGUGAGUGCGGGAGAGGCAGACGGAAUUCCGGGUGUAGCGGUGAAAUGCGUAGAUAUUAGGAGGAACACCAGUGGCGAAGGCGGUCUGCUGGACAGCAACUGACGCUGAGGCGCGAAAGCGUGGGGAGCAAACAGGAUUAGAUACCCUUGUAGUC